ensembl:lncRNA
CUGAUAUUAGCAAUCAAAGAAAUUAUAUCACUAUCCCAAAUAAAACUUUAAUAAAACAUGCCAACAUUAUGGUCUAACAAUAAAACAGCUUGUCAGCGUUCAGUUUUUUUGCAACAGCACAGCAGUAACCAUUUAACACUUGCCACUGUCAACAUUUAUUUUACCAGUGUUUGGGCAAAAAAACUCGAGUUGUAAACAUUUUAACAUGGAAACAAUUGUUUGUCUUUAAAAGUCCGCAAAAUAUACAUUCAUCCUGCAUUCCCAACUUACCCUUAUUCUUAGUAUGUAUUGCAAUUACCUUUACAAUGCACACAAUGUAACACAAACUGAAUAUGAACAUAUUUCCACCUCAUAACAAUAUGCCUUGAACGCUAAUAUACACACCACCCUUCAACAUUUCUGGUGCAGUAUCAUCUCUCAAUUAAAUCUUUUAAAUCUCAAUACUUUUGAUUGUCUCUUACUAGCCCCCCACAAGAGUAAAAUCUCUCAAAUUGUAGUAGUUUACAAACUUUUCAAAAUGUUUUAAAUUUCUCUUAAAUGUAAUUUUCCCUUUAUCUGUCAUUUACAAAUUACCAUUUUAUUCCCAUUCAGCCUCCGAAAAACUUCUGUCCAUCUGACAGAACAUUCAUCAUCCAAAUUAAGGGUUGGCUUAUUCAUUCAGUGUAUUCUUGAGCAUCUGUACCUUGGUCAAGAGUCUGCUGACGUACAGAUGAAGGAAGAGCUUCUGAAGUACUUCAAAGAAAGCUUUCAGUCUCGAGGUUAACUGAGAUUCAGUGCAUAUAUCCCACCCAUUAAGAGUGCACAUGCAGAGGCCAGGUCUUCCAGGUCAUGCAGGACACAUGGUAGAUGGUUAUACCCACAUCGGCUGGAGGAGUGCUGGAAUCAGCUCUUUCGAUGGUAAAGAUAGCAAGGGUAAUUUGUUCCAGCUCCCUCUGAACAGCUGUAGCUUAGACACAAAAACAUAGAAAAAUGGCGUCCAGUUUUUAAAAAAAAAAGAAAAAAGAAAAAAAAAAGGGCCAAAGCUACCCUUUAAUGAAGUAAACACAAUAUUAGGAACAUGCACCCCAGUGCGCCACUAUUUCAGACUACAGAUUCAACAAUAAAUAUACAUAGUUUGGGUAUACAAGAAGAUUCCCCAAAACAUUUAAACAGGUUCCAUGCAAAUUACAACAACAACAACAUUAGAACAUGCAACAACAUUAGUUAUUCAAAAUUUGGUUUAAUACAGAUAAAAAACUAAACUCAAAUUACCAACCAAUUAUUCUUUGAAGAGGAUGCUUGGGUCUUCAUUCAGGUAAAAAGGUAGUGCCCUGAGGACACACUCCCUCCCCUUUUCAAUAGUUUCCUUCUGUAGAGAGUGGCAGGGAUACAGGAAGAGAAAAGAGAAGUACUUUAGGAUGACACAAACUCACAUUAUACGCAAAAUGAAUGACAUAUCCACUGCACAGAUAGUAAGCAUGGCACAGGAAGACUGUAAAUAGAGGUGUGAAAGCAGUAAAAUGGAUAUGCACACAUGCAUGCCUGCGAACACAAACUGUGCGCCUAUAAGUAAAACAAUGUGUGUUUGAACAGUUACACCUUACUGAGCUAUCAGUUUGUAUUUGUUUAUAUGUUUUUGUUUUAAUCUAUUAAUGUCUACAUACAUACAUAACAGGUCUCAUAUAGUUAAAAAAGAAGUUGACCAGCUGCAGGCUCAGCAGCACUUUCAGAUAAGAAGAAUAUGAAAAAUUGUUUGGUUCUUAAGGUUGACUGAUCUUAAUACCUUUAACCAGCUGGUUUGCCAACAUCCAACUUUAUUUUUCAUUAUUUUUUUAUCCUUCUGUAAAUAUUGAAGAGUUAUCAUGUCACUGCAUUAUGAUUAGAUUUGAAUAUAUAUAUUUUUAAAAUUCAGAUGAAUCACAAAAACAGCUGUUUUUUUUUUACAGAUGUGUGCUCCUCACAGCGCAGCCACUACAAACGGGAUUUAUAGAAUAUGAUUCUGGACAUAAAACAGAACAUAAAGCAUUUAAAAUGAGCUCAGUCUUUAACAUUUGCAGCAGUAAAAUUAAUCGAGAAAGCAUUUUUCUGCAGAAUAAUAAUUUUUACUUUGGUUAUUUUAUGAACACAAUUUUUCAGAAAUCCAGUUUUAUGUGUACUGAGGUGGGUUUAUUGUUUAGUUUCAUAAAGGAACAGUUUGAAAAAUCCACCACUAAUAAUAAUAACUAGUUUUUGUUAAUAUAGUUUUUAAUUGACUA